ACUACAUGGAUAACCGUGGUAAUUCUAGAGCUAAUACAUGCCAAAAACCCCGACUCACGGAGGGGUGUAUUUAUUAGAUAAAAAACCGACGCCCUUCGGGGCUCACCGGUGAUUCAUGAUAACUUCACGAAUCGCAUGGCCUUGCGCCGGCGAUGGUUCAUUCAAAUUUCUGCCCUAUCAACUUUCGAUGGUAGGAUAGUGGCCUACCAUGGUGUCGACGGGUGACGGGGAAUUAGGGUUCGAUUCCGGAGAGGGAGCCUGAGAAACGGCUACCACAUCCAAGGAAGGCAGCAGGCGCGCAAAUUGCCCAAUCCCGACACGGGGAGGUACGUAGAGAUCCAUUUCUUUUUUUCUUCCCGUGCGUGUUAUAGUGAAAUAUUUCCCUUCUUUCGUCAGUCUUAACCCCCGAUUCGAUAUCGCGGGAAUCACGCUAGUCCGCUUCAGGACCGCGCUAGUCUACUUCAGGACCACGCUAACCCCAAUCUAGGCAGUGACAAUAAAUACCGAUGCAGGGCUCUUAUGGGUCUUGUAAUUGGAAUGAGUACAAUUUAAAUCCCUUAACGAGGAACAAUUGGAGGGCAAGUCUGGUGCCAGCAGCCGCGGUAAUUCCAGCUCCAAUAGCGUAUAUUAAAGUUGUUGCAGUUAAAAAGCUCGUAGUUGAACCUUGGGCCUGGCUGGCCGGUCCGCCUCACCGCGUGCACUGGUCCGGCCGGGCCUUUCCUUCUGGGGAUCCGCAUGCCCUUCACUGGGCGUGUCGGGGAACCAGGACUUUUACUUUGAAAAAAUUAGAGUGUUCAAAGCAGGCCUUUGCUCGAAUACAUUAGCAUGGAAUAAUAGAAUAGGACGAGCGGUCCUAUUUUGUUGGUUUCUAGGACCGCCGUAAUGAUUAAUAGGGAUAGUCGGGGGCAUCGGUAUUCAAUUGUCAGAGGUGAAAUUCUUGGAUUUAUUGAAGACCAACUACUGCGAAAGCAUUUGCCAAGGAUGUUUUCAUUAAUCAGUGAACGAAAGUUAGGGGAUCGAAGACGAUCAGAUACCGUCGUAGUCUUAACCAUAAACCAUGCCGACUAGGGAUCGGGCGACGUUUCCAUUUUGACUCGCUCGG
rnacentral:rRNA from 1 species